UUGAGACGCGUCAUAUAUACGGUCCGUUUUCAUGAUUAAUUGUUUGUACGUCUGCUCGAGUGUACUUUUCAGUAUUGCAAACAUAAUAAUAAAACCACAACUGUAUGUAUUUUUCCAGCUCGGUGAACGUGAUUGAAGGCACUGCGGGAGAUGUAGUCCUUUGGCCUGCGCCCACCCGCCGCACAUCCCCGAGACUGUCCGUCUUGGAAUCGCCGCUUCGGCUGAGCAGCGCAGAGACACGGCGCGUGCAAGAGGAAAAACGAGGCUAGAGCGGCAGUUUCCCUCGGCCGUGAACGUUAACGCCGCAAAGCGAAAAUGGAGAACGGCACGUUGACUGUGUAGGACCCGGGGUUACUGCGGGGUGCUGAAAGCAUUUGUCCAGAGGCCCAACCACGUAAAUAUCAGUGUCCUGGGAUGGAGAUGAGCUCCUCGUUUGAUGGUACUGAAGACCAGAAGAAGAAUCCGCGGCGCGGUGGCGUGCCGUGCGCCAGCUGUGAAAUGGCGUUUAAUGGCGAUGCCGCGUAACCGUAUCCACGGGGACCGAGAUGAGGUCAUCGGCGUCUGCUGGAGGGCCGCCGGUUUUUAUUCCAGCUCAAGGCCUAACGCGGUAACUGGAGCCGCCAUUUUGUUUUGUUUUUCUGGACAGGGUCCUCCGGAGCAUGGAGCGGCCAUGUUUGGCCCUCAUACAGGAAACGCAUCAGAAACUGUGGCCUGUUUAUAACUCUUAUGUGGUUGGAACGUCCUGGAUUAACACAGCGUGGAACAUGCCGUUAUGGUCUUUAAUCGAUUGAACCUGCCGGUAUUCUUUCUGAUUGGUCAGACAUGCCGUUACUGUUUCUGAUUGGUCGGACAGGCUGUUAUUGUUUCUUAUUGGUCGGACAUGUCGUUAUUGUCCCUGUUUGGUCGGACAUGCCGUUAUUGUUUCUUAUUGGUCAGACAUGCCGUUACUGUCUCUGAUUGGUUGGACAUGCCAUUAUUGUCCCUGAUUGGACGGCAGUGAGCACAGGAAGAGGGUUGAGCUAGCGAUGGGAAAAUGCACUGCUGUGUGCAUUUGUACUAAAUAUAAAGCUUAAGCCUGUUUGUUCACGUGUUUGUUCAAUCUCUGUAAUUUAUGUUUCUUUAUAUUCCUCUCCAACUCUGAAAGCAGAUGGCCUGUGUGUUGUACUCUUCAGUGUGGAGGCACGCACAUGUAUG